UUCGCUCGGGCAGUUUGGGCCAUAGUUCAAGUAGCUUCGAAUCUAUACCCACCACGUAGUGCACGGAACAUGUUCGGCAACUGGUUGCGGGGUAUUGAUAAACAAUUUUCUGCACAUAUUCUUGUGGGAGCGGCGGCCUUAUGCUGGGCACUGUGGCUUACCAGGAAUGUUGUGAUUUUUAAUAACAAAUGUGUCUCAUCUCCUAUGCAGAUUAUUCAUGUGUGUACACGAUGGCUCCGUACUUGGUCUACCCUGCAGAGACCGGAGGACACAAACCUUUUUAUGAUGGCGUCUACACGGCUGGAGCGUACGGCCAGGGAGGUUUUCUACCCCCAUGGAUGGCGGUGUGACCUACGGAUAGGAUCUGCCACUCCUUAG
rnacentral:rRNA from 1 species